AUUGAACGCUGGCGGCGUGCUUAACACAUGCAAGUCGAGCGGUAACAGGUGUAGCAAUACAUGCUGACGAGCGGCGAACGGGUGAGUAAUGCUUCGGAAUCUUCCUCGUAGUGGGGAACAACCUGGGUAAACUCAGGCUAAUACCGCAUACGAACUACGGUUGAAAGCAGGGGAUCGCAAGACCUUGCGCUAUGAGAUGAGCCGAAGUCGGAUUAGCUAGUUGGUGAGGUAAAGGCUCACCAAGGCGACGAUCCGUAGCUGGUCUGAGAGGACGACCAGCCACACUGGGACUGAGGCACGGCCCAGACUCCUACGGGAGGCAGCAGUGGGGAAUAUUGGACAAUGGGGGCAACCCUGAUCCAGCGACGCCGCGUGUGUGAAGAAGGCCUGCGGGUUGUAAAGCACUUUUAGUGGGGAUGAAAAGCCGAAGGCUAAUACCUUUCGGUCUUGACCUAACCCAAAGAAAAAGCACCGGCUAACUCUGUGCCAGCAGCCGCGGUAAGAC
rnacentral:rRNA from 1 species